rnacentral:rRNA from 1 species
AUAGGCCAUGCAUGUCUAGUAUAAGCACUUAUACCGUGAAACUGCGAAUGGCUCAUUAAAUCAGUAAUAGUUUAUUUGAUAGUACCUUUACCUGGAUAACUGUGGUAAUUCUAGAGCUAAUACAUGCUAAAAACCUCGACUUCGGAAGGGGUGUAUUUAUUAGAUAAAAAACCAAUGCCCUUCGGGGCUCCUUGGUGAUUCAUAAUAACUUAACGAAUCGCAUGGCCUUGCGCCGGCGAUGGUUCAUUCAAAUUUCUGCCCUAUCAACUUUCGAUGGUAAGGUAGUGGCUUACCAUGGUCUCAACGGGUAACGGGGAAUUAGGGUUCUAUUCCGGAGAGGGAGCCUGAGAAACGUAAGUUCUUACUCUUUACCCCUUUUCGUCAUUCAUUCCCCCUGGGAAUUCUUAAAUUUUUACUAAUUCUUUUUUUAGGGCUACCACAUCCAAGGAAGGCAGCAGGCGCGCAAAUUACCCAAUCCCGAUACGGGGAGGUAGUGACAAUAAAUACUGAUACGGGGCUCUUUCGGGUCUCGUAAUUGGAAUGAGUACAAUCUAAAUCCCUUAACGAGGAACAAUUGGAGGGCAAGUCUGGUGCCAGCAGCCGCGGUAAUUCCAGCUCCAAUAGCGUAUAUUAAAGUUGUUGCCGUUAAAAAGCUCGUAGUUGAACCUUGGACCUGGCUGAUCUGUCCUCCUAAUCGAGCGUACGGAUUCGGUCGGGUCUUUUCUUCUGGGGAGCCUUAUGCCCUUUACUGGGUGUAAUGGGGAACCAGGACUUUUACCUUGAAAAAUUAGAGUGUUCAAAGCAGGCCUUUGCUCGAAUACAUUAGCAUGGAAUAAUAGAAUAGGACAUCGGUUCUAUUUUGUUGGUUUCUAGGACCGCUGUAAUGAUUAAUAGGGAUAGUCGGGGGCGUCCGUAUUCAAUUGUCAGAGGUGAAAUUCUUGGAUUUAUUGAAGACNNNNNNNNNNNNNNNNNNNNNNNNNNNNNNNNNNNNNNNNNNNNNNNNNNGGUCGCAGGCUGAACUUAAAGAAAUUGACGGAAGGGCACCACAAGGCGUGGAGCCUGCGGCUUAAUUUGACUCAACACGGGGAAACUCACCAGGUUAACAUCAUUGUCUGGGCCUGGAAUAGUAUUUGCUACAUAAGUGGCAAUAGCUAGUACACCGUUCCUUUGCUGCAUGGAGAAGCCUCCAUAUUUCGGGUGCAGGGCAGCAGGCUUUCAGUAGUCCUGUUGUUGAACGGGUGCGACACCAGCUGGUACAGGGAACGCCUUCUUUCGUGAUCAACUUGAUUAUGACUUUGGCCGAUCCUGUGGCGAGCCAGGGCUGCGCCUGGCCGUCGCAACGCGCGCUAAGCGGUGGGCAGAUUUAAGUCUGCUUAAGGUACGUGCUGACCCACGGGAUGAUAAACCGUGCUAUGGAGUUGAGGGCCGAAAACAACCAAAGCUCCAUAGGCGUGCAGUGCAUUCUAUUGCCUGUACGUGGGUUUGCGAUUAAAUUCGCAGGCGAAUUCGCCAGACAUGCUUAGGAUUGACAGAUUGAUAGCUCUUUCUUGAUUGUAUGGGUGGUGGUGCAUGGCCGUUCUUAGUUGGUGGAGUGAUUUGUCUGCUUAAUUGCGAUAACGAACGAGACCUUGACCUGCUAAAUAGCCCGAUUGACUUUUGUCGGUCGCCGGCUUCUUAGAGGGACUUUUGGCUCAAGCCAAUGGAAGUACGAGGCAAUAACAGGUUAACCUUAUGGGUUACGUGCAAACCAUAUCACAGGCCUGAGGAGGGGUCUCGUACAUUGAUUCCAUAGGGGUUUGAUUGGUUCCCCGUUAUCAAAAACUACCUUCUAGUUGAUCCUCAAUCCUCCUGGUAGAAGCCUAUCGUAGUCGGGGGAGGGCACCGAAAGGUGUAUGAGGCAGCGAGACAACCUGGUUCAUGGAACGGCCACUGGCCCGAUCAUGAUGCGAGCAGGAGUAGCGUCCUGCCGCGGCAACGCGUGCAAAGGUGUCGGUUCCGUCUUAAGACGGGGCUUAAGGUACAUGCUAAUCCCCUAGGCAACUAGGGGCUGCUACGAUGAGACCCGACAGUCAAAGCGUAGCAGGCGUCUUCUCUUGGAGGCGUGCACGAUAUUAUGCUGUGAUGCCCUUAGAUGUUCUGGGCUGCACGCGCGCUACACUGACAGAGCCAGCGAGUACAUCACCUUGGCCGAAAGGUCUGGGUAAUCUUGUUAAACUCUGUCGUGCUGGGGAUAGAGCAUUGCAAUUAUUGCUCUUCAACGAGGAAUGCCUAGUAAGCGCAAGUCAUCAGCUUGCGUUGAUUACGUCCCUGCCCUUUGUACACACCGCCCGUCGCUACUACCGAUUGAAUGGCUCAGUGAGGCCUUGGGACUGGCUCAGAAAGGUCGGCAACGACCAUUCAGAGCCGGAAACUUGGUCAAACUUGGUCAUUUAGAGGAAGUAAAAGUCGUAACAAGGUUUCCGUAGGUGAACCUGCGGAAGGAUCAUUA